rnacentral:rRNA from 1 species
GAUGAACGCUGGCGGCGUGCUUAACACAUGCAAGUCGAACGAGAACCAUCGGAUCGAGGAUUCGUCCAAGUGAAGGUGGGGAAAGUGGCGGACGGGUGAGUAACGCGUGAGCAAUCUGCCUUGGAGUGGGGAAUAACGGCUGGAAACAGCCGCUAAUACCGCAUGAUACAGCUGGGAGGCAUCUCCCUGGCUGUCAAAGAUUUAUCGCUCUGAGAUGAGCUCGCGUCUGAUUAGCUAGUUGGCGGGGUAACGGCCCACCAAGGCGACGAUCAGUAGCCGGACUGAGAGGUUGGCCGGCCACAUUGGGACUGAGACACGGCCCAGACUCCUACGGGAGGCAGCAGUGGGGAAUAUUGGGCAAUGGGCGCAAGCCUGACCCAGCAACGCCGCGUGAAGGAAGAAGGCUUUCGGGUUGUAAACUUCUUUUGUCAGGGACGAAGCAAGUGACGGUACCUGACGAAUAAGCCCCGGCUAACUACGUGCCAGCAGCCGCGGUAAUACGUAGGGGGCAAGCGUUAUCCGGAUUUACUGGGUGUAAAGGGAGCGUAGACGGCGAAGAAAGUCUGAAGUGAAAGCCCGCGGCUCAACCGCGGAAUGGCUUUGGAAACUUUUUUGCUGGAGUACCGGAGAGGUAAGCGGAAUUCCUAGUGUAGCGGUGAAAUGCGUAGAUAUUAGGAGGAACACCAGUGGCGAAGGCGGCUUACUGGACGGUAACUGACGUUGAGGCUCGAAAGCGUGGAGAGCAAACAGGAUUAGAUACCCUGGUAGUCCACGCGGUAAACGAUGAAUGCUAGGUGUUGGUGGACAAAGUCCAUCGGUGCCGUCGCAAACGCAGUAAGCAUUCCACCUGGGGAGUACGUUCGCAAGAAUGAAACUCAAAGGAAUUGACGGGGACCCGCACAAGCGGUGGAGCAUGUGGUUUAAUUCGAAGCAACGCGAAGAACCUUACCAGGUCUUGACAUCCCCCUGACAGGGCAUGUAAUGUGCCUUUCCUUCGGGACAGGGGAGACAGGUGGUGCAUGGUUGUCGUCAGCUCGUGUCGUGAGAUGUUGGGUUAAGUCCCGCAACGAGCGCAACCCUUAUCCUUAGUAGCCAGCACAUGAAGGUGGGCACUCUGGGGAGACUGCCGGGGAUAACCCGGAGGAAGGUGGGGAUGACGUCAAAUCAUCAUGCCCCUUAUGAUCUGGGCUACACACGUGCUACAAUGGCGUAAACAAAGGGAAGCGAGAUUGUGAAAUGGAGCAAAUCCCAAAAAUAACGUCUCAGUUCGGAUUGUAGUCUGCAACUCGACUACAUGAAGCUGGAAUCGCUAGUAAUCGCAGAUCAGAAUGCUGCGGUGAAUACGUUCCCGGGUCUUGUACACACCGCCCGUCACACCAUGGGAGUCGGAAAUGCCCGAAGUCAGUGACCUAGCCGAAAGGAAGGAGCUGCCGAAGGUGGAGCCGGUAACUGGGGUG